rnacentral:rRNA from 1 species
AGAGUUUGAUCAUGGCUCAGGAUGAAUCUGGCGGCGUGCCUAACACAUGCAAGUCGAGCGAUUCAUUUCGGUGAAGAGCGGCGGACGGGUGAGUAACGCGUGGGUAACCUGCCCUGUACACACGGAUAACAUACCGAAAGGUAUGCUAAUACGGGAUAAUAUAUAGAAGUCACAUGGCUUUUAUAUCAAAGAUUUUUCGGUACAGGAUGGACCCGCGUCUGAUUAGCUAGUUGGUAAGGUAACGGCUUACCAAGGCAACGAUCAGUAGCCGACCUGAGAGGGUGAUCGGCCACAUUGGAACUGAGACACGGUCCAAACUCCUACGGGAGGCAGCAGUGGGGAAUAUUGCACAAUGGGCGCAAGCCUGAUGCAGCAACGCCGCGUGAGCGAUGAAGGCCUUCGGGUCGUAAAGCUCUGUCCUCAAGGAAGAUAAUGACGGUACUUGAGGAGGAAGCCCCGGCUAACUACGUGCCAGCAGCCGCGGUAAUACGUAGGGGGCUAGCGUUAUCCGGAUUUACUGGGCGUAAAGGGUGCGUAGGCGGUCUUUCAAGUCAGGAGUUAAAGGCUACGGCUCAACCGUAGUAAGCUCCUGAUACUGUCUGACUUGAGUGCAGGAGAGGAAAGCGGAAUUCCCAGUGUAGCGGUGAAAUGCGUAGAUAUUGGGAGGAACACCAGUAGCGAAGGCGGCUUUCUGGACUGUAACUGACGCUGAGGCACGAAAGCGUGGGGAGCAAACAGGAUUAGAUACCCUGGUAGUCCACGCUGUAAACGAUGAAUACUAGGUGUCGGAGGUUACCCCC